UUUCCGUWGGUGAACCUGCGGAAGGAUCAUUACCGAGUGCGGGCCCCUCGGGGCCCAACCUCCCACCCGUGUUGCCCGAACCUAUGUUGCCUCGGCGGGCCCCGCGCCCGCCGACGGCCCCCCUGAACGCUGUCUGAAGUUGCAGUCUGAGACCUAUAACGAAAUUAGUUAAAACUUUCAACAACGGAUCUCUUGGUUCCGGCAUCGAUGAAGAACGCAGCGAAAUGCGAUAACUAAUGUGAAUUGCAGAAUUCAGUGAAUCAUCGAGUCUUUGAACGCACAUUGCGCCCUCUGGUAUUCCGGAGGGCAUGCCUGUCCGAGCGUCAUUGCUGCCCUCAAGCCCGGCUUGUGUGUUGGGCCCCGUCCCCCCCGCCGGGGGGACGGGCCCGAAAGGCAGCGGCGGCACCGCGUCCGGUCCUCGAGCGUAUGGGGCUUCGUCACCCGCUCUAGUAGGCCCGGCCGGCGCCAGCCGACCCCCAACCUUUAAUUAUCUCAGGUUGACCUCGGAUCAGGUAGGGAUACCCGCUGAACUUAA
rnacentral:rRNA from 1 species